rnacentral:lncRNA from 1 species
ACUUAUGGCCAUAUUUGGAGAAAGUAAUUGAAAAAGAGUAAUAGAGACUAAGCUCUUAUUUUUACAGCAAAGUUCAUGGUCAGCUAUCAUAUAUAUUGCUAAAUUUUAAAACUUUGUUUGUAACAUGGAGUAGAAUGACAAAGUUCUUAUCAAUCAAUUUUGAUAUAAGUUAAAAGAUAAUAUCAAAGAUUUAUCAUUGAUAAUGCUAAAAGCAAAAUCUUUGAAAUAAUUUAUCACUCAAGCCAUUGUAUGCAAUAAUU